GCAAGCAGACGUGUAAUGUGAAACAUCUGAUGUGCAGUUCAGGACCAAAUCCACCAGGACCGAUUGAUGGAGUUCAGAGUCCCUGAAUCCACCGGUAUUGGUCUUUGUUCAAAGCAAAGAGAGGGCAAAAGAGCUCUACAGAGAGCUGGUAUAUGACGACAUUAGAGUUGAUGUAAUCCAUGGAGACCUUACUGAAGAGCAGCGUCAAGAUGCUGUUGACAACUUGAGAGCUGGAAAAAGCUGGGUGCUAAUAGCAACAGAGGUUCUUGCGCGGGGAAUGGAUUUCAAAGGUGUCAAGUGUGUAAUCAACUAUGAUUUCCCUGAGUCCGCGUCUGCCUACAUUCACAGAAUAGUCCGGAAGAGCAGGCAGAUCGGGGGAGGCGAUCACGUUCUUCACGGAGGAGGACAAGCCGUUCCUGUGGACCAUCGCCAACAUACUGGUAUCUUCGGGCUGCGAGGUUCCUUCCUGGAUGGUGGCGUUGCCCAAGCUCAAGAGCAGGAAGCACAGGGUGGACAGGUGUGUCGAUCUUGAUCAUCUAAUUCAUUGCCGUCAUAUUAGCAAAGUGUUGAUCGUCUCAUACGCACGAGGCUUUGCAGCUAGAUAAAAAAGAUCGAAAGCAGACAGACGUAUUAGGAAGUGUUGGUACCGUGGAAGACCCAAUAAGAUUAGUCACCGAUCUUAUUGAAGCAGAAGACCCAACAGGCAGUUUGGGUCAUGACUCACAAGUUCAAGGCGUUUGAGGUAUAGAUCACAAUAUCAUUUUUUUUCUUUGAUAAUUUGGUGGUUAGUGGUGUUGCCACACGACCAAGUUCACAUAUAUCCUUUUUCUUUGUUUCAACUAUUCUAGAUUCUCUUAUUUGUUUAUUUCUUUUUCCUGUGAAAUUCAUUCUUUUCGUUUCCUUGUGUGUGCAUGGAUCUACCAGGAAACAAAUGGCGAGUGAUCCUCUGUCAACCUCAUUCCUCCCUUGUCCCUUGUUCGGUGGAUUAGUAUUUUUCUGUCAAUGUGUUUAUGCACUUUCUUUCUUUUAGCUCAAGCAUAUAUGAUGAGUCCUUUCAUGCACUUUUUUUACAACACUCUAAUGUGUCUGACAUGAUCAGAUGAUUUUCUGGUUGCAGGGAGAAUAGAAUACAUAUCAACCAUUGAGGCUAGUUUUUACUGGAAUUUUUCUUGCGGCCAUCAGGAUGUUUGUGUAGGUUUGCUCUGCAACACGGCUGAACAUUAUGUUGUUUUCGGUUGACAGAAGCA